rnacentral:rRNA from 1 species
GUAAUAUAUCGGAACGUACCCUAGGGUGGGGGAUAACGUAGCGAAAGUUACGCUAAUACCGCAUACGCUCUACGGAGGAAAGCAGGGGACCGCAAGGCCUUGCGCUCAUGGAGCGGCGAUAUCGGAUUAGCUUGUGGUGGGGUAAAAGCCUACCAAGGCGACGAUCCGUAGCUGGUCUGAGAGGACGACCAGCCACACUGGGACUGAGACACGGCCCAGACUCCUACGGGAGGCAGCAGUGGGGAAUUUUGCGCAAUGGGGGAAACCCUGACGCAGCAACGCCGCGUGGAGGAUGAAGCCCCUUGGGGCGUAAACUCCUUUCGACCAAGACGAUUAUGACGGUACUGGUGGAAGAAGCACCGGUAACUCUGUGCCAGCAGCCGCGGUAAUACAGAGGGUGCAAGCGUUGUUCGGAAUUAUUGGGCGUAAAGGGCGCGUAGGCGGCGCGGUAAGUCACCUGUGAACAUCUCCAAGCUUAACUUGGAGCCUGCAGGCGAAACUGC